AGUCCAUGGUGAGGACACUUUCUAAGCAUCUCCUUAAAUCUUUCCCAAGCUUCGCUUAAUGUCUCUCAUCUUCAAACUGUUGAAAAGCAACAAUCUCAUUUCUGAACC